rnacentral:rRNA from 1 species
GGUUAAGCGACUAAGCGUACACGGUGGAUGCCCUGGCAGUCAGAGGCGAUGAAGGACGUGCUAAUCUGCGAUAAGCGCCGGUAAGGUGAUAUGAACCGUUAUAACCGGCGAUUUCCGAAUGGGGAAACCCAGUGUGACUCGUCACACUAUCAUUAACUGAAUCCAUAGGUUAAUGAGGCGAACCGGGGGAACUGAAACAUCUAAGUACCCCGAGGAAAAGAAAUCAACCGAGAUUCCCCCAGUAGCGGCGAGCGAACGGGGAGGAGCCCAGAGCCUGAAUCAGCAUGUGUGUUAGUGGAAGCGUCUGGAAAGGCGCGCGAUACAGGGUGACAGCCCCGUACACAAAAGCGCAUGUGCUGUGAGCUCGAUGAGUAGGGCGGGACACGUGGUAUCCUGUCUGAAUAUGGGGGGACCAUCCUCCAAGGCUAAAUACUCCUGACUGACCGAUAGUGAACCAGUACCGUGAGGGAAAGGCGAAAAGAACCCCGGCGAGGGGAGUGAAAAAGAACCUGAAACCGUGUACGUACAAGCAGUGGGAGCACAGGUUUACCUGUGUGACUGCGUACCUUUUGUAUAAUGGGUCAGCGACUUAUAUUCUGUAGCAAGGUUAACCG